UACAGAGACUGCAAGCGUUAUUCGGAUUCACUGGGCGUAAAGGGUGCGCAGGCGGCCGUGUGUGUCAGGUGUGAAAAGCCCGGAGCUUAACUCCGGAAUUGCGCCUGAAACUACAUGGCUAGAGCAUUGGAGAGGGAAGUGGAAUUCACGGUGUAGCAGUGAAAUGCGUAGAUAUCGUGAGGAACACCAGAGGCGAAGGCGGCACUCUGGGCUGGAAUUGACGCUGAGGAGCGAAAAGUGUGGGUAGCAAAACAGG
rnacentral:rRNA from 1 species